rnacentral:rRNA from 1 species
AGCUGGGGGUGCUAACACAUGCAGUCUGUAACGAGAAAGGGCAGCAAUGCCUGAGUCCAGUGGCGCACGGGUGAGUACACGUGACUAAUCUACCCUCGAGCGGGGAAUAACCUAGGGAAACCUGGGGUAAUUACCGCAUAAUCCCUACGGGGCAAAGGAAGCAAUUCCACUUGAGGAGGAGGUCGCGGCCGAUUAGCUAGUUGGCGGGGUAAUGGCCCACCAAGGCAAUGAUCGGUAUCCGGCCUGAGAGGGCGCACGGACACACUGGAACUGAAACACGGUCCAGACUCCUACGGGAGGCAGCAGUGGGGAAUUUUGCACAAUGGACGAAAGUCUGAUGCAGCAACGCCGCGUGGGGGAUGAAGCUUUUCGGAGUGUAAACCCCUUUCGACCCGGAAGAAAGCCCGCAAGGGUUUGACGGUACGGGUAUAAGAAGCCCCGGCUAACUACGUGCCAGCAGCCGCGGUAAAACGUAGGGGGCCAGCGUUGCUCGGAAUUACUGGGCGUAAAGGGUCCGUAGGCGGUGUGGCAAGUCGGUAGUGAAAUCUCUGGGCUUAACCCAGAGGCUGCUGCCGAAACUGCCGUGCUAGAGUGUGAGAGAGGCGAGUGGAAUUACGGGUGUAGCGGUGAAAUGCGUAGAUUCCGUAGGAAACAUCCGAGGCGAAGGCGGCUCGCUGGAUCACAACUGACGCUGAGGGACGAAAGCUAGGGGAGGCAAACAGGA